UCCCAGCUAGAACCGGAUUUCGAGGAAAUUAUUUCAAGUCAAAAACAGCUACAUGCUUCACAUACAUCUGGAAAAUCUUAAAAUAUAUAAUAAAUAAUGUUUAAAAAAUUUUUUGUCAAUUAAAAAUAUUGUGCAAGUUUAACGUCCAAAAUAAGCAUUAAACAUAGUUUAAAAUUUAUUAGCAACUCUUUUAUUAAUUGAAAAUGGCUCUUUGUUUUUUCUAAUUUACUGGCCCGCCGUAAGAUUUUUUUUAAUUUAUUGGCCCGCCGUCCAAAAAGUUCGCCCACCACU
rnacentral:misc_RNA from 1 species